rnacentral:rRNA from 1 species
AUCGCGGGCGGCGUGCGUGAUACACGCAAGUCGUACGCUUCUUUUUCCACCGGAGCGUGCUCCACCGGAAAAAGAGGAGUGGCGAACGGGUGAGUAACACGUGGGUAACCUGCCCAUCAGAAGGGGAUAACACUUGGAAACAGGUGCUAAUACCGUAUAACAAUUGAAACCGCAUGGUUUUGAUUUGAAGGGCGCUUUCGGGUGUCGUUGAUGGAUGGACCCGCGGUGCAUAAGUUAGUUGGUGAGGUAACGGUUCACCAAGGCCACGAUGCAUAGCCGCCUUGAGAGGGUGUUGGGCCCCAUUGGGAUUGAGACACGGCCCAAAUUCUUACGGGAGGCACCAGUAGGGAUUCUUCGGCAAUGGAGGAAAUUCUGACCGAGCAACGCCGCUUGAGUGAAGAAGGUUUUCGGUUGGUAAAAUUCUGUUGUUAGAGAAGAACAAGGAUGAGAGUAACUGUUCAUCCCUUGACGGUAUCUAACCAGAAAGCCACGGCUAACUACGUGCCAGCAGCCGCGGUAAUACGUAGGUGGCAAGCGUUGUCCGGAUUUAUUGGGCGUAAAGCGAGCGCAGGCGGUUUCUUAAGUCUGAUGUGAAAGCCCCCGGCUCAACCGGGGAGGGUCAUUGGAAACUGGGAGACUUGAGUGCAGAAGAGGAAAGUGGAAUUCCAUGUGUAGCGGUGAAAUGCGUAGAUAUAUGGAGGAACACCAGUGGCGAAGGCGGCUUUCUGGUCUGUAACUGACGCUGAGGCUCGAAAGCGUGGGGAGCAAACAGGAUUAGAUACCCUGGUAGUCCACGCCGUAAACGAUGAGUGCUAAGUGUUGGAGGGUUUCCGCCCUUCUAGUGCUGCAAGCUAACGCAUUAAGCA